rnacentral:rRNA from 1 species
UACGUAGGGUGCAAGCGUUGUCCGGAAUUAUUGGGCGUAAAGAGCUCGUAGGCGGUCUGUCACGUCGGCUGUGAAAACCUGGGGCUCAACUCCGGGCCUGCAGCCGAUACGGGCAGACUAGAGUUCGGCAGGGGAGACUGGAAUUCCUGGUGUAGCGGUGAAAUGCGCAGAUAUCAGGAGGAACACCGGUGGCGAAGGCGGUUCUCUGGGCCUUACCUGACGCUGAGGAGCGAAAGCGUGGGGAGCGAACAGG